rnacentral:rRNA from 1 species
GUGGGGAAUAUUGGACAAUGGGCGAAAGCCUGAUCCAGCGACGCCGCGUGGGUGAAGAAGGCCUGCGGGUUGUAAAGCCCUUUCGGUAGGGACGAAAGCCUCCGACCUAACACGUCGGGGGGUUGACUUAACCUACAGAAGAAGCACCGGCUAACUCUGUGCCAGCAGCCGCGGUAAUACAGAGGGUGCGAGCGUUAAUCGGAAUUACUGGGCGUAAAGCGCACGUAGGCGGCUUGGUAUGUCGGGUGUGAAAUCCCCGGGCUCAACCUGGGAACUGCAUCCGAAACUACCUUGCUAGAGUAUGGGAGAGGGAAGCGGAAUUUCCGGUGUAGCGGUGAAAUGCGUAGAUAUCGGAAGGAACAUCAGUGGCGAAGGCGGCUUCCUGGACCAAUACUGACGCUCAGGUGCGAAAGCGUGGGGAGCAAACAGGAUUAGAAACCCGGGUAGUCC